UAAUUAACCUUGUCAAAAUUGGUACGGACAAGGGGAAUUCGACUUUUUAAUUAAAACAAAGCAUUUCGAUGGUCCUUGCCGAUGUUGACGCAAUGUGAUUUAUGCCCAGUGCUUUGCAUGUCAAAGUGAAGAAAUUAAACCAAGAACGGGUAAACGACGGGAGUAACUGUGACUCUCUUAAGGUAUCCAUAUGUCGCGUCAUCUAAUUAGUGAUGUGCAUGAAUGGAUUAACGAGAUUCCCACUGUCCCUAGCUACUAUCUAAAGAAACCACAGCCAAGGAACUGGGCUUGGCAGAAUUAGCGGGGAAAGAAGACCCUGUUGAGCUUGACUCUAGUCUGAAUUUGUGAAAUUACUUGAGAGAUGUAGAAUAAGUGGGAUUCAUUUUUAGCGCAAGUGAAAUGUUAGAAAAAUAGGACCGCGGACCAAUAAAAUAAAACAAAUGCGGAAACAAAACACAGAAGAUACACAAUACAAGAGAGACACAGAUUUACGUGGUUCACCCAGUGUGGGCUACAUCCACCAGAGAAAUUGCCAGGUCAUUCCUUUAUUAUUAUCUAGCAAAUGAAGGGAUACAACCUACAGAAAAACCCGUUGUAACUUCAUCUUCUUUCUUUCACAGUCUCCUAUCUCAGAAUACAAUACUCACCAUCAUGCAUAGCCGCGAUACAUUUCCCUCAUAACAGAGGGUUGCCUUCUAGGGAAAAAAACCCUAACAUAAUUUAUACCGUUAGAUCUGUGACCUUAUAAUGAACGGUCCUGAUUUACAAUGAAAUUAAAAUAUACAUUUACAAGGCAAUUUUUCCUUCGGGGGCUUCGCCCCCAGACCCCCCAGCUGGGGGGAUACCCCCCCGGACCCCACAGAGGGGGUGCCCCCCCCCUCUGCACUCCCUC
rnacentral:ncRNA from 1 species